rnacentral:lncRNA from 10 species
UACAUGCAGAUAAAUAGAAACACUGCAACUUGGAAACCAUGAAUCUGUCUUUCAGGGUGAAGUGGAGAUAGAACCCUCAAGGAGCUAUGCUCAGGAUGAACAGUGUCUGCUGUCAUUGUAGUGAAGAGAGCACUUCGGGGCGCCCGUGAACUGUCCUGUACUGUCCAGCGCAGGGGGUCAAUGCAGGCCCCACUCUGAAUCCAGACCGAGUCUGCUUGGCCCCAAGAAUUUCCAGGUUGGCCCCAAGUGAAUGCCACCUGGCUGUAAGCAUGGUCACACUCUGCCACAGAGCGGAAUUGCAGGAUUCUGAUAAACCUCAGGAACUGCAGAUGACAUGAGAUGUCCCUGCUGGGGAGAAAAACUUGAUCCCAUUGGCAAACCAGCUCCUGAGAUUUGUAUCAAGUCCUCUGCAUCUCACAGCUACCUUGUGUCUCCUCUAUUGAAAAGCGGCUGGCCGUUCAGAGACCUUCUACUAAUGGCAAAUUCUGAGGAAAUACCUAUUGGUGAGUGCCAAAGAAAGCUCCUUAGGAAGCUCUUUAAAUAAGCUGCUGGAAGCCACUUUUCAUUUCUUUGCUGACAGAGAUGAGUGCCUAUAUCCUGGAAUUAAACUUGGGCCAGAAGGAAUCUGUCCCAUCUGCUGGUGUGACGGAAAGGGUCCCAGGAGGACAUCUGCCCUGAAGUCCCUCCUCCAUGAUGUCAGGCAUCUGAAAUUCCACUUUUAGAGAUGACCCUGAUAGACUCUCAGUCUUCAAAGAUUCACUCAUACUAAUGGAAAUAUUUCUGCAGGCCACAAAUUAAAGCUUUGGGGCAGUUAUCACUCACUUUCCCACUGAGAAAGACACCCAGGAGCUCCCUCAAGAAUGUGCCCAGGCAGACCCUUUCAGAGGGGAGGCAUGUGUGGAGGUCCUGGGGUGGAGGAAGGGCACUGAGAGCAGAGAUGACAGUAACCAGACUCCAUCCAUGACCCCCAUGGCCCUCUAGGACCUGGGCCUGCCCACCUGUCCAACCUCAGCUCCCACCAUUCACACCUUGGCUUCUUGGCCUUUUUUUUCGUGGACACACCACCCUCUUUCCUCCCUUAGGGCAUCCAUGGUGGCUACUUCUGGAAUAUUCUUCUCCAAGAAUAUUGGAGAAUUCUCCAAUUCUCAUGGCUGGUUCAUCUUAUUAUUAAUGUCUCCAAUAGCUCCAAUAUUGCUGUCUCUGAGAGGCCCCCAUUAAUCACCAGCCUCAAGUCAUCCUUCUUCCAUGUCUACCCUGAUCACUCUCUAUUAUGCUCUCCUGGAUUGCUUUAUUCCUAGUGCUUCCAUGUUGAAAUUAUCUUCUUUAUUCAGUUGACUACUUGGCAAUUUUCUAUGUUUCCUUACUAGCCUUUGUUUUAUUAUGUAACUUUUGUUUUUUAUUAGAAGAUUAUGUUUUGCCUAAUUCUGUACUCUCUUAUCCACAUCCUCUCGGAAUUACCUACCAUUGGUGUGUUAGUCUGUUCUCACAUUGCUAUAGAGAAAUACCUGAGGCUGGGUAAUUUAUUUUAAAAAGAGGUUUAAUUGGCUCAUGAUUCUGCAGACAGUACCGGAAGCAUAGCAGCUUCUGCUUCUGAGGAGGUGAUACGGUUUGGCUCUGUCCCCACCCAAAUCUCAUCUUGAAUUGUAAUCCCUGUAAUUCCCAUGUGUCAUGGGAGGGGGCCGAUGGGAGGUAAUUUAAUCAUGGGGUGGUUACCCUCAUGCUGUUCUCAUGAUAACGAGUGAGUUCUCACAAGAUUUGAUGGUUUUAUAAGGGACUUUUACCCCUUUUGCUCUGCACAUCUCCUUGCUGCUGUCAUUUGAACAAGGACGUGUUUGCUUCCCCUUCUGCCAUGAUUGUAAGUUUCCUGAGGCCUCCCCAGCCAUGCAGAACUGUGAGUCAGUUAAGCCUCUUUCCUUAUUAAAUUACCCAGUCUUGAGUAUGUCUUUAUGAGCAGCAUGAGAACUGACUAAUACAGGAGGCCUCAGGAAACUUACAAUGAUGGUGGAAGGCAAAGGGGAUGCAGGCACAUCUCACAUGGCCAGAGCAGGAGGAAAACAGAGAGGGAGGAGGUGCCACCCACCUUUAAACAACUAGAUCUUAUGAGAACUCACUCAAUAUCACUAGAGUUGCACUGAGGGGAUGAUGCUAAACCAUUCAUGAGAACUCCACCCCCGUGAUCCAAUACCUCCCACCAGGCCUCACCUCCAACAUUAGGGAUUACAAUUCGACAUGAGAUUUGGGCAGGGAUACAGACCCAAACCAUAUCAACUGAUUAAGUACUCAAUAUUUUUUAUAGUAUGAAUAAAUGAAGUAAAGAAUCAAAUAUAAACUUAUUACUUCAAGGCAUAAGCUUGUCUGUUGGAAUCAGUUACAUGAAGCCAUCAAGAACAGGGAAGGAGCUGAGAUUUUAUUUUACCUGCAAGCUAAUGAGCUAGCUUGCCACAAUUUCAGACAUACUGGAAGAAGAUAUGAGAUUCCUGUCAUAGCAGUAGCCAGAGUAUCAGAAGUUGCUGCAGUUUAGGCCCCAAGCCUGAAUUUCUGUAGGAAAACAGAGAGAGAGUAACAUGAGUAGGUACAUUACAGGAGAAGAACCCUGAGCUUAGGAAACCCAAAUAGUUUAUAACAGGAAGUAAGCCUGCCUGACUCUUUUCCUGGAGGGAGACAUUAUCUUUUAUUACACUGGACAGUAGACAAACCUGCUCUUUGCUCCAGAGGAAGACACAUUCUCUAUAUUCAAGCAUAUUCUUUUUAAGGGUGUUUGAUUGUAUAAAAACAUCUUGGAAAAGAGAGUCCACUUUGUUGGCAAGAUAUAUAGAAAUGUGAGAGACCCAUGGAGAAUUGCCUCCUAACAAAGCCCAUCUUCCUGGUCUAUCUUUAAUAAUUCCUUUAUCCCAUCUCUCCUUCCUAUCCCAACAAAAGCUCAAAUAAUGUUUGUUUAAUAGAACACUUACUGCAUCCUACCUCACAUUUCUUUCUUUAGGGAGAUGGCUUGUCAAUAAAUGGACCCAUUCUUACUGGAAUGGCUGUGUGAGUAGCCCUGUUUCUAGAACUUUGGAGUUUUUAGUCUCAAACCAGGAUACCUGUAGUGGGUUCCUGGUGGAGUGCCAUAGGGCAAACAAAGCCCUGGGAUUAAAACAGAACACAUCCCUGGAUCACAAUUUUUACUAGAAAAAAAUGGAGAAAAGUCUAUUAACUUUUAUUAAAAUACAUGUAAAUAUAUUAUGCAGUGAGUGCACAUUCUCAAGGAUUUUAAAGAUAAAGAAAAUAUUUCUUUGGGCAGUACUGCUACCUCUCCCCUGUCCCAGAGCAUAGAUGAACUUUUUCUUGCUGCUCUAGUGGAAAAAUUUUAAGCUCUUUUAUUGAACAGUGUUUUGCAAACUAUGGGUCACGACCUGGUAAUGGGUUAUAAAAUCAUCUGGGUGAGUCUGGCCAACAAUUAAUAGUAAUUUAAAAUAUUAUAGAAUGGACAAUAUCAGAGGGCAUCUGUAAUGGUUAAUAUUAAGUGUCAACUUGAUUGGAAUGAAGGAUGCAAAGUAUUGGGUGUGUCUGUGAGGGUGUUGCCAAAGGAGAUGAACAUUUGAGUCAGUGGACUGGGAGAGGCAGACCCACCCUCAAUUUGAGUGGGCACCAUCUAAUCAAUUGCCAGCACAGCUAGAAUAAAGCAGGCCUGAGAAAGGGGGAGAAACUGACUUGCUGAGUCUUCUGGCCUUCAUCUCUCUCCCGUGCUGGAUGCUUCCUGCCCUCAGAUAUCAGACUCCAAUUUCUUCAGCUUUUGGACUCUUGGAUUUACACCAGUGGUUUGCCAGGGGCUCUUGGGCCUUUG